GAAACCUUUACACUGCACGACAGUGCGAUAGGGGAUCCCAAGUGCACAGGCAUAGCGCCUGUGCUUUUCGGUACCGUAAGGUGGUACCAGAAUAAGGGCUGGGCAAGACCGGUGCCAGCCGCCGCGGUAAUACCGGCAGCCCAAGUGAUGGCCGAUCUUAUUGGGCCUAAAGCGUCCGUAGCUGGCCGCGCAAGUCCAUCGGGAAAUCCACCUGCUCAACAGGUGGGCGCCCGGUAGAAACUGCGUGGCUUGGGACCGGAAGGCGCGACGGGUACGUCCGGGGUAGGAGUGAAAUCCCGUAAUCCUGGACGGACCGCCGAUGGCGAAAGCACGUCGCGAGGACGGAUCCGACAGUGAGGGACGAAAGCCAGGGUCUCGAACCGGAUUAGAUACCCGGGUAGUCCUGGCCGUAAACAAUGUCUGUUAGGUGUGGCUCCCGCUACGAGCGGGUGCUGUGCCGUAGGGAAGCCGCUAANCAGACCGCCUGGGAAGUACGUCCGCAAGGAUGAAACUUAAAGGAAUUGGCGGGGGAGCACUACAACCGGAGGAGCCUGCGGUUUAAUU
rnacentral:rRNA from 1 species